GUUGUAUAGUCAAGUAAUUAAGUGCAUGUGGUGGAUGCCUUGGCAGUCAGAGGCGAUGAAAGACGUGAUAGCCUGCGAAAAGCUCCGGGGAGGCGGCAAAUAUCCUUUGAUCCGGAGAUGUCUGAAUGGGGGAACCCACCUACUUUAAGGUAGGUAUUGCAACAUGAAUACAUAGUGUUGCAAGGCGAACGAGGGGAAGUGAAACAUCUCAGUACCCUUAGGAAAAGAAAUCAAUUGAGAUUCCCUCAGUAGCGGCGAGCGAACGGGGAUCAGCCCAUUAAGUUAUGUGUGUUUUAGUGGAACGCUCUGGGAAGUGCGAACGUAGAGGGUGAUAUUCCCGUACACGAAAGGGCACACAUAAUGAUGACGAGUAGGGCGAGGCACGUGAAACCUUGUCUGAAUAUGGGGGGACCAUCCUCCAAGGCUAAAUACUCCUGACUGACCGAUAGUGAACCAGUACCGUGAGGGAAAGGCGAAAAGAACCCCUGUGAGGGGAGUGAAAUAGAUCCUGAAACCGCAUGCAUACAAGCAGUGGGAGCACCUUCGUGGUGUGACUGCGUACCUUUUGUAUAAUGGGUCAGCGACUUAUAUUCAGUAGCGAGGUUAACCGUAUAGGGGAGCCGUAGAGAAAUCGAGUCUUAAUAGGGCGUUUAGUUGCUGGGUAUAGACCCGAAACCAGGCGAUCUAUCCAUGAGCAGGUUGAAGGUUGGGUAACACUAACUGGAGGACCGAACCCACUGUCGUUGAAAAGCCAGGGGAUGACUUGUGGAUAGGGGUGAAAGGCUAAUCAAGCCUGGUGAUAGCUGGUUCUCCCCGAAAGCUAUUUAGGUAGCGCCUCGGACGAAUACCAUAGGGGGUAGAGCACUGUUUCGGCUAGGGGGUCAUCCCGACUUACCAAACCGAUGCAAACUCCGAAUACCUAUGAGUACUAUCCGGGAGACAGACUGCGGGUGCUAACGUCCGUAGUCAAGAGGAAAACAAUCCAGACCGCCAGCUAAGGCCCCAAAAUCAUAGUUAAGUGGGAAACGAUGUGGGAAGGCAUAGACAGCUAGGAGGUUGGCUUAGAAGCAGCCACCCUUUAAAGAAAGCGUAAUAGCUCACUAGUCGAGUCGGCCUGCGCGGAAGAUGUAACGGGGCUAAAACUAUGUGCCGAAGCUGCGGAUGUAUACUUUGUAUACGUGGUAGGGGAGCGUUCUGUAAGCCGAUGAAGGUGUGUUGAGAAGCAUGCUGGAGGUAUCAGAAGUGCGAAUGCUGACGUGAGUAACGACAAAACGGGUGAAAAACCCGUUCGCCGAAAGACCAAGGGUUCCAGUCCAACGUUAA
rnacentral:rRNA from 1 species